rnacentral:rRNA from 1 species
CCCAGACUCCUACGGGAGGCAGCAGUGGGGAAUAUUGCACAAUGGGGGAAACCCUGAUGCAGCGACGCCGCGUGAGUGAAGAAGUAUUUCGGUAUGUAAAGCUCUAUCAGCAGGAAAGAAAAUGACGGUACCUGACUAAGAAGCCCCGGCUAACUACGUGCCAGCAGCCGCGGUAAUACGUAGGGGGCAAGCGUUAUCCGGAUUUACUGGGUGUAAAGGGAGCGUAGACGGUGAAGCAAGUCCGAAGUGAAAGGCGGGGGCUCAACCCCCGGACUGCUUUGGAAACUGUUUGACUGGAGUGCAGGAGAGGUAAGUGGAAUUCCUAGUGUAGCGGUGAAAUGCGUAGAUAUUAGGAGAAACACCAGUGGCGAAGGCGGCUUACUGGACUGUAACUGACGUUGAGGCUUGAAAGCGUGGGGAGCGAACAGGAUUAGAUACCCUUGUA